UACGGAGGGGGCUAGCGUUGUUCGGAAUUACUGGGCGUAAAGCGCACGUAGGCGGCGCGACAAGUCAGAGGUGAAAGGCCUGGGCUCAACCUGGGAACUGCCUUUGAUACUGGCGUGCUUGAGUCCGGAAGAGGGUGGCGGAAUUCCCAGUGUAGAGGUGAAAUUCGUAGAUAUUGGGAAGAACACCGGUGGCGAAGGCGGUCACCUGGUCCGGUACUGACGCUGAGGUGCGAAAGCGUGGGGAGCAAACAGGAUUAGAUACCCCCGUAGUCC
rnacentral:rRNA from 1 species